rnacentral:rRNA from 1 species
AAGGAUGUGGCAUUUCAUAAACAACCAGGAUGUUGGCUCAGAAGCAGCCACCAUUUAAAGAGUGCGUAAUAGCUCACUGGUCGAGAGACGCUGCGCCGAAAAUGUCCGGGGCUCAAGCACGGAACCGAAGCUAUGGCAUGAUAGCAAUAUCAUGGGUAGGGGAGCGUUCUUAUAAGGAAGAAGCAUGACCGGAAGGACAUGUGGACAAAUAAGAAGUGAGAAUGCCGGUAUGAGUAUCGAAAAGAAAGGUGAGAAUCCUUUCCACCGAAAGCCCGAGGGUUCCUGAGCAACGAUCGUCGACUCAGGGUAAGUCGGGACCUAAGCCGAGGCGAGAAGCGUAGGCGAUGGACAACAGGUUGAAAUUCCUGUACCGGAUCAAGUCGAUCGAGCGAAGGAGCGACGCAGGAGGGCACAUGAUCGCGCGGCUGGAAGAGCGCGUCCAAGUGCGUAUGUUGCAGCAGAGGAAAACCCCUGCAGCUAAAAGCAGAGACAUGAUGGGGAGUUAAAGGAAACUUUGACGAACUCAUGGAUCCCACACUGCCAAGAAAAACUUCUAGCGAGACAAGAUCCGCCCGUACCGUAAACCGACACAGGUAGGCGGGGAGAGAAUCCUAAGGUGCGCGGGAAAACCCUCGUUAAGGAACUCGGCAAAUUGCAUCCGUAACCUAGGGAGAAGGAUGGCCCCCGGUCAGUGAAGAGCAGAAACGCUCAGAGCUAAAAGGGGCGGCAGAAAAGAGGCCCAAGCAACUGUUUACCAAAAACACAGGUGCCUGCGAAAGCGAAAGCUGAAGUAUAGGUGCUGACGCCUGCCCGGUGCCGGAAGGUUAAGGAGAGAAGUUAGCGAAAGCGAAGCAUCGAACUGAAGCCCCGGUGAACGGCGGCCGUAACUAUAACGGUCCUAAGGUAGCGAAAUUCCUUGUCGGGUAAGUUCCGACCCGCAUGAAAGGCGUAAUGAUUUGGGCACUGUCUCAACGAGGGGCCCGGUGAAAUUGAAAUACCUGUGAAGAUGCAGGUUACCCGCGACUGGACAGAAAGACCCCAUGGAGCUUCACUGCAGCUUGAGAUUGAAUCCCGGUGACAGAUGCACAGGAUAGGUGGGAGGCGCCGAAGCAUUGCCCUAGGGCGGUGCGGAGCCGAUGUUGGGAUACCACCCUUCUGUUGCUGAGAUUCUAACGCGAGGAGUAACGACCCUGCGGACCCUCUCAGGCAGGCGGUUUGACUGGGGCGGUCGCCUCCGAAAGAGUAACGGAGGCGCCCAAAGGUUCCCUCAGGCCGGACAGAAACCGGCCGAAGAGUGCAAAGGCAGAAGGGAGCUUGACUGCGAGACCAACAAGUCGAGCAGAGACGAAAGUCGGGCUUAGUGAUCCGGUGGUACUGGGUGGAAAGGCCAUCGCUCAACGGAUAAAAGCUACCCUGGGGAUAACAGGCUAAUCUCUCCCAAGAGUUCAUAUCGACGGGGAGGUUUGGCACCUCGAUGUCGGCUCAUCACAUCCUGGGGCUGGAGUAGGUCCCAAGGGUUGGGCUGUUCGCCCAUUAAAGUGGUACGCGAGCUGGGUUCAAAACGUCGUGAGACAGUUUGGUUCAUAUCCAUCGCGGGCGCAAGAAGUUUGAGAGGAGCUGCUCCUAGUACGAGAGGACCGGAGUGGACGGAUCAACGGUGUCCCAGUUGUCACGCCAGUGGCACGGCUGGAAAGCCGCAUCCGGGAAGGAUAAACGCUGAAAGCAUCUAAGCGCGAAGCCAACCUCAAGAUGAGACUUCUCAUCAGCAAUGAGUAAGACCCCUUACAGACGAUGAGGUAGAUAGGUUAUGAGUGGAAGAGCCGCAAGGCUUGGAGCGACAUAAAACUAAUAGGUCGAGGUCUUAACU